rnacentral:rRNA from 1 species
GACGAACGCUGGCGGCGUGCUUAACACAUGCAAGUCGAACGGUGAAGGGGUCUGCUUUUGUGGGCCCUGGAUGAGUGGCGAACGGGUGAGUAACACGUGAGUAACCUGCCCCCUUCUUCUGGAUAACCGCAUGAAAGUGUCGCUAAUACGGGAUAUUCUGGGUCUGUCGCAUGAUGGGUCUGGGAAAGAUUGCGCCUUUGGGUGUUUUUGGUGGGGGAUGGGCUCGCGGCCUAUCAGCUUGUUGGUGGGGUGAUGGCCUACCAAGGCGGUGACGGGUAGCCGGCCUGAGAGGGUGGACGGUCACACUGGGACUGAGACACGGCCCAGACUCCUACGGGAGGCAGCAGUGGGGAAGAUUGCACAAUGGGCGCAAGCCUGAUGCAGCGACGCCGCGUGAGGGAUGGAGGCCUUCGGGUUGUAAACCUCUUUCGCCAGUGAAGCAGGCCUGCUCCUUGUGGGUGGGUUGACGGUAGCUGGAUAAGAAGCGCCGGCUAACUACGUG